rnacentral:rRNA from 1 species
GAUGAACGCUGGCGGCGUGCCUAAUACAUGCAAGUCGAGCGAACGGACGAGAAGCUUGCUUCUCUGAUGUUAGCGGCGGACGGGUGAGUAACACGUGGAUAACCUACCUAUAAGACUGGGAUAACUUCGGGAAACCGGAGCUAAUACCGGAUAAUAUUUUGAACCGCAUGGUUCAAAAGUGAAAGACAGUCUUGCUGUCACUUAUAGAUGGAUCCGCGCUGCAUUAGCUAGUUGGUAAGGUAACGGCUUACCAAGGCAACGAUGCAUAGCCGACCUGAGAGGGUGAUCGGCCACACUGGAACUGAGACACGGUCCAGACUCCUACGGGAGGCAGCAGUAGGGAAUCUUCCGCAAUGGGCGAAAGCCUGACGGAGCAACGCCGCGUGAGUGGUGAAGGUCUUCGGAUCGUAAAACUCUGUUAUUAGGGAAGAACAUAUGUGUAAGUAACUGUGCACAUCUUGACGGUACCUAAUCAGAAAGCCACGGCUAACUACGUG